UUAAGUGACUAAGCGUACAUGGUGGAUGCCUUGGCAGUCAGAGGCGAUGAAGGACGUACUAACCUGCGAUAAGCCGUGAGCAGUCGGUAAGAGACAUUACGACUCACGGAUUUCCGAAUGGGGAAACCCACUUAGCAUAAGCUAGGUAUCGCUACGUGAAUACAUAGCGUAGCGAGGCGAACCGGGAGAACUGAAACAUCUAAGUACCCCGAGGAAAAGAAAUCAACCGAGAUUCCCUCAGUAGCGGCGAGCGAACGGGGAUUAGCCCUUAAGCAUCUUGGAAGUUAGUGGAACGGUCCUGGAAAGGCCGGCGAUACAGGGUGAUAGCCCCGUACACGAAAACAACCUUGAUGUGAAAUCGAGUAGGGCGGGACACGUGACAUCCUGUCUGAAUAUGGGGGACCAUCCUCCAAGGCUAAAUACUCCUGACUGACCGAUAGUGAACCAGUACCGUGAGGGAAAGGCGAAAAGAACCCCUGUGAGGGGAGUGAAAUAGAACCUGAAACCGUGUACGUACAAGCAGUGGGAGCCCUUCGGGGUGACUGCGUACCUUUUGUAUAAUGGGUCAGCGACUUACAUUUUGUAGCGAGGUUAACCGUAUAGGGGAGCCGUAGGGAAACCGAGUCUUAACUGGGCGUCUAGUUGCAAGGUGUAGACCCGAAACCGGGUGAUCUAGCCAUGGGCAGGUUGAAGGUUGAGUAACAUCAACUGGAGGACCGAACCCACUAACGUUGCAAAGUUAGGGGAUGACCUGUGGCUGGGGGUGAAAGGCCAAUCAAACUCGGAGAUAGCUGGUUCUCCCCGAAAGCUAUUUAGGUAGCGCCUCGGACGAAUACUACUGGGGGUAGAGCACUGUUUGGGCUAGGGGGUCAUCCCGACUUACCAACCCCAUGCAAACUCCGAAUACCAGUAAGUAAUAUCCGGGAGACACACGGCGGGUGCUAACGUCCGUCGUGAAGAGGGAAACAACCCAGACCGCCGGCUAAGGUCCCAAAGUUCUGGUUAAGUGGGAAACGAUGUGGGAAGGCUCAGACAGCUAGGAUGUUGGCUUAGAAGCAGCCAUCAUUUAAAGAAAGCGUAAUAGCUCACUAGUCGAGUCGGCCUGCGCGGAAGAUGUAACGGGGCUCAAACCAGGCACCGAAGCCGCGGAUUCACGCUAAGCGUGAGUGGUAGGGGAGCGUUCUGUAAGUCUGCGAAGGUGUAUCGAGAGGUAUGCUGGAGAUAUCAGAAGUGCGAAUGCUGACGUAAGUAACGAUAAAGGGGGUGAAAAGCCUCCUCGCCGGAAGACCAAGGGUUCCUGUCCAACGUUAAUCGGGGCAGGGUGAGUCGACCCCUAAGGCGAGGCCGAAAGGCGUAGUCGAUGGGAAGCAGGUUAAUAUUCCUGCACGACUUGUAAUUGCGAUGGGGGACGGAGAAGGCUAGGUGGGCCAGGCGACGGUUGUCCUGGUGAAAGUGCGUAGGUGGUGUUUCUAGGCAAAUCCGGAGACACAACACUGAGACACGAGACGAACACACUACGGUGUGGAAGCCAUUGAUGCCCUGCUUCCAGGAAAAGCCUCUAAGCUUCAGAUUACAAGUCAUCGUACCCCAAACCGACACAGGUGGUCGGGUAGAGAAUACCAAGGCGCUUGAGAGAACUCGGGUGAAGGAACUAGGCAAAAUAGAACCGUAACUUCGGGAGAAGGUUCGCUCUUGACAGUGAAGUCCCUUGCGGAUGGAGCAGUUGGGAGUCGCAGUGACCAGAUGGCUGGGACUGUUUAUCAAAAACACAGCACUCUGCAAACACGAAAGUGGACGUAUAGGGUGUGACACCUGCCCGGUGCCGGAAGGUUAAUUGAUGGGGUUAGCGCAAGCGAAGCUCUUGAUCGAAGCCCCGGUAAACGGCGGCCGUAACUAUAACGGUCCUAAGGUAGCGAAAUUCCUUGUCGGGUAAGUUCCGACCUGCACGAAUGGUGUAACCAUGGCCAUGCUGUCUCCACCCGAGACUCAGUGAAAUCGAAUUCGCCGUGAAGAUGCGGUGUACCCGCGGCUAGACGGAAAGACCCCGUGAACCUUUACUACAGCUUGGCACUGAACAUUGAACCUACAUGUGUAGGAUAGGUGGGAGGCUUUGAAGGCGUGACGCCAGUUGCGCUGGAGCCGUCCUUGAAAUACCACCCUUGUAUGUUUGAUGUUCUAACGCAGGCCCGUGAAUCCGGGUCGCGGACAGUGCCUGGUGGGUAGUUUGACUGGGGCGGUCUCCUCCCAAAGAGUAACGGAGGAGCACGAAGGUUGGCUAAUCCUGGUCGGACAUCAGGAGGUUAGUGCAAUGGCAUAAGCCAGCUUAACUGCGAGACGGACAGGUCGAGCAGGUACGAAAGUAGGUCAUAGUGAUCCGGUGGUUCUGAAUGGAAGGGCCAUCGCUCAACGGAUAAAAGGUACUCCGGGGAUAACAGGCUGAUACCGCCCAAGAGUUCAUAUCGACGGCGGUGUUUGGCACCUCGAUGUCGGCUCAUCACAUCCUGGGGCUGAAGUCGGUCCCAAGGGUAUGGCUGUUCGCCAUUUAAAGUGGUACGCGAGCUGGGUUCAGAACGUCGUGAGACAGUUCGGUCCCUAUCUGCCGUGGGCGUUGGAUGAUUGAAGGGAGUUGCUCCUAGUACGAGAGGACCGGAGUGAACGAACCUCUGGUGUUCGGGUUGUCACGCCAGUGGCACUGCCCGGUAGCUAAGUUCGGAAUCGAUAACCGCUGAAAGCAUCUAAGCGGGAAGCGAGCCCUGAGAUGAGUCAUCCCUGACCCCUUGAGGGUCCUAAAGGGCCGUUGGAGACCACAACGUUGAUAGGUGGGGUGUGUAAGCGCGGCGACGUGUUGAGCUAACCCAUACUAAUUACCCGUGAGGCUUAACC
rnacentral:rRNA from 1 species